UACGUAGGGGGCAAGCGUUAUCCGGAUUUAUUGGGCGUAAAGAGCGCGUAGGCGGUCUGUUAAGCGAGAUGUGAAAACCGGGGGCUCAACCCGCGGCCUGCAUCUCGAACUGGCAGACUUGAGUCUGGUAGAGGAAAGUGGAAUUCCUGGUGUAGCGGUGAAAUGCGCAGAUAUCAGGAGGAACACCAGUGGCGAAGGCGGCUUUCUGGGCCACGACUGACGCUGAGGCGCGAAAGCUAGGGGAGCGAACAGGAUUAGAUACCCUGGUAGUCCUAGCCGUAAACGAUGGGCACUAGGUGUGGGGGGUCAUCGACUCCCUCCGUGCCGAAGCUAACGCAUUAAGUGCCCCGCCUGGGGAGUACGGCCGCAAGGCUAAAACUCAAAGGAAUUGACGGGGGCCCGCACAAGCAGCGGAGCAUGUGGCUUAAUUCGACGCAACGCGAAGAACCUUACCAGGGCUUGACAUGCAGGGAAAAACGGCGGAAACGUCGUGUCCGUAAGGGCCCUGCACAGGUGGUGCAUGGCU
rnacentral:rRNA from 1 species